rnacentral:antisense_RNA from 1 species
GUCUCGGGUGGGGUGCGGCUUCCUGCGUCUGAGAGACGCUUCCUCUCCUGCUGUCCUCUCCCUGCCAGGCCCCUUCUGCACCGGCUGGCUUCCAGACAACCUGCAUUCCUCCCUUGCUUGCAGCAGUUGCUGUGGCGGUCCUCCCGUGCACCCCCCCUUCUGCCCUCACUGCCCCUGGGGGUCCUCAUCACGGACCCCCUAACUCGGCAUCCUGGGCACCACCACCCCGCACCUUUCCACAGUGCAGCUCUGCUCACGCCUGUGAAGCCUCCCACAGCCUGGGAAGGAAAACCCAGACUUGCCAGACCUUGCCUCCGCCAGGCCUUUGAAGCCCGCCAGCUUACCUAACCAGGCUAGUCUGCCCCCCUCACUCUGCGUGCUCUCCAUGGGCCACUCACCAUUUCCUGAGCAGGACCAGAGCUCUCCUGCCCCAAGGCUGGGCUUCAGCUGUUCUUUCAGCUUCGAACGUCCUUUCCCACUCUCCAUCAUCCACAUUCACCUAUCCUGCCUGCCCCAGUUAAAAUCCUGUUUCUUCUAGGAAGUCCCUCAUCCCACCCGCUUACCCCAGGGAGACUGAGCUUGUUCCUUCUCCUAGUAAGACCCUCAGCCCAUGGAGUCCUGUGUGAUGUUGUGAGCGUGGGAGGACAGACUGAACUGCUCGGCCCGUGGAGUCCUGUGUGAUGUUGUGAGCGGGGAGGACAGACUGAACUGCUCGGCCCGUGGAGUCCUGUGUGAUGUUGUGAGCGGGGAGGACAGACUGAACUGCGUGGUGCUUCGCACAUAGACCUCAACAGGGAUUGGCAUUUUGAAGCUGUUGGCGGGGGCUGUGGACUGCUUUUCUUCCUUUCUAGCUCAACGGCAGCUAAAGCCACUGCAUACAAUGCAAGGACUGGCUCCUGUUUGGCCGCGACUGAUUGCAGCCCCUGGUGAAAUGAGAACCCUGUGGGUCGGAACAAAGUUUGGAUUAUUUAUGUUGCAAGUAACUAAAAUCUCAAGUGAAACUGGUUUAAACA